rnacentral:rRNA from 1 species
AUUGAACGCUGGCGGCAGGCCUAACACAUGCAAGUCGAACGGUAGCACAGAGAGCUUGCUCUCGGGUGACGAGUGGCGGACGGGUGAGUAAUGUCUGGGAAACCGCCCGAUGGAGGGGGAUAACUACUGGAAACGGUAGCUAAUACCGCAUAACGUCGCAAGACCAAAGUGGGGGACCUUCGGGCCUCACACCAUCGGAUGUGCCCAGAUGGGAUUAGCUAGUAGGUGGGGUAAUGGCUCACCUAGGCGACGAUCCCUAGCUGGUCUGAGAGGAUAACCAGCCACACUGGAACUGAGAGACGGUCCAGACUCCUACGGGAGGCAGCAGUGGGGAAUAUUGCACAAUGGGCGCAAGCCUGAUGCAGCCAUGCCGCGUGUAUGAAGAAGGCCUUCGGGUUGUAAAGUACUUUCAGCGGGGAGGAAGGCGGUGAAGUUAAUAACUUCACCGAUUGACGUUACCCGCAGAAGAAGCACCGGCUAACUCCGUGCCAGCAGCCGCAGUAA